rnacentral:hammerhead_ribozyme from 1 species
ACCCAGCUGACGAGUCCCGAAUAGGACGAAACAAGCGUUCUGGAU